rnacentral:rRNA from 1 species
UGUUUAUUGUACCUUGUUGCUUCGGUGCGCCCGCCUCACGGCCGCCGGGGGGCUUCUGCCCCCGGGUCCGCGCGCCCCGGAGACACCAUUGAACUCUGUCUGAAGAUUGCAGUCUGAGCAUAAACUAAAUAAGUUAAAACUUUCAACAACGGAUCUCUUGGUUCCGGCAUCGAUGAAGAACGCAGCGAAAUGCGAUAACUAAUGUGAAUUGCAGAAUUCAGUGAAUCAUCGAGUCUUUGAACGCACAUUGCGCCCCCUGGUAUUCCGGGGGGCAUGCCUGUCCGAGCGUCAUUGCUGCCCUCAAGCACGGCUUGUGUGUUGGGCUCCGUCCCCCCGGGGACGGGUCCGAAAGGCAGCGGCGGCACCGAGUCCGGUCCUCGAGCGUAUGGGGCUUUGUCACCCGCUCUGUAGGCCCGGCCGGCGCCAGCCGACAACCAAUCA